CAAAUUUAAAAUCUACCUGGUUUCCAGGUCGAGUUGUAAUUUGAAGAUACGUUUUUGACGUUCCGGGUUGAACUAAAUCCUUUGGGAUAAGGUAUCAUGGAGGGUGAGAAUCCCGUAUAUACCAACCRYAGGGAUGUUAUUUAAUACGUUUCUAAGAGUCGAGUUGUUUGGGAAUGCAGCUCUAAAUGGGUGGUAAAUUUCACCUAAUGCUAAAUAUAAGCGAGAGACCGAUAGYGAACAAGUACAGUGAUGGAAAGAUGAAAAGAACUUUGAAAAGAGAGUUAAAUAGUACGUGAAAUUGUUGAAAGGGAAACGAUUGAAGUCMGUCMUGCCBGUGGGAAUCMACUUWGRGGAAACUCUGAGUGCACUUYUUCGCUUGGCAGGUCAACGUYGAUUUUGGAUGUCAUAAAAUGAUUGGGGGAAGGKAGCYCYYUCGGGAGUGUUAUAGCCCUUGGUAGAUGUGAUGUCUGGGAUCGAGGAUUGCAAUGGAUACCCUUUGGGGCUAGCCGCCUGAUCUCUAAUYGGUAUUGGGUUACGGAUAGCAUGCUGACCGUGAUCUAAUUAUUGGUUAAAAGGUUAG
rnacentral:rRNA from 1 species